CCUGACAGUUGAACUCUGGAUGACUGACAGCUGUCCUUCAUCACAACAGAAGACACAGAAAUCCUCCUCAUCAAAAACAUGACUUUGAUCUGCGUCCUCAUCUGGACUCUCCUCUGCUUCACUCAGGGAUCUGAUGGACAAAAUGUUGUUGUGACUCAACCAGCAGCCAAAUCAGUGCAGCUUGGUCAGACAGUCACUAUUGACUGUAAGGCCAGUAGACAAGUAACUCUGUGUAGUUACCCAUCAGGGUACUGCCUGUCCUGGUACCACCAGAAACCUGGAGAAACUCAUAAAGCUCUGAUCUAUUUAACAUCAACCAGAUUUUCAGGAAUCUCCUCCAGAUUCAGUGGAAGUGGAGCAGGAAAUGAAUUAGACUUCACUCUGACCAUCAGUGGAGUUCAGGCUGAAGAUGCAGGAGUUUAUUACUGUCAGAGUUAUCAUAGUAGUGACGUGUUCACACAGUGAAAAAUCAUCGUACA